UUAAGCGAUACUACGUGCAUUCUUCUGAAUAUAGUUUAACUUGAACAGAAAUGUGCGAACAGAAUCGGUGUUUGACAAUUAUAAUCAUAUUUAUUUUAAAUCUGUAUAAAUAUAAAAUGUGCAUGGAUCUAAAGACCACUUCAAACUGCUGUACUGUUCUGUUACGGUAUUUUUACAAAUGCUGUGUGGAUAUAUGAAUAGAGACAAAGAACUAUAAAACGGAAGUAAGUGCCAAAGUAGGAUUCGUUGGCAUCUCCGGACCUUCUUCCGUGGUGACACGUUUUCUCUUGGUGAUGUUUGUCUAGUACAGCGCUGCGCCUCCGUGUAUUACUUAACGAUGAAAUUGAUUGCACGUGCACGUGUUUGACGACAUUGCAGCGCCCGCUCAUAAUCAAAUGAAUUGGACAUGUGACCUCUCCGUGACCCGGAUGUCAUUCGGACCAUGCUGAGAAUGACAAAGCAUAUUAGAGAGAUUAUUAUUGGCCAGUGUUGUUUAUGAACAGAUUAAAAACCACAUUGGCAGCUGCUUAAGUUGGGAUUUUAAAUUAAACGGGGACCGAGGUGUUGCUCGGUGGUAAAGCGCUCGAUCCAGGCGCGUGUACAAGGGUGGGUUUCGGUGGUCGAAAUUACUAAGCGAAUUUAGUUUUUUUCACAUAUAUUUUCCGGAGAAGCAUAGCUCGAACACCCUCCCCCCACCCCCCACCCCCCCACCCCAU